UGUUCUGCGGCUUAGUUGGUUAAAGCGCCGAACUAGCGAUACGAAUUCGUGGGUUUGAAUCUCACCAAAAUAA
rnacentral:tRNA from 1 species